CUCUCUGCGAAAACCCGCCUCCUCAGUUACAUCACAAAGGAAACACGCCUUCUAAGGGCAAAAGCUGCCUGUUUCCACGCCCUCACAUUCAAACUGAAAACUGCGCGCCAAGGUUUUGCAGCAGAACAGAUUUGGAAUGAAAAAGUGAGAUAAUGGAACAUUUCUGGAUCUCAUCACUUGAAGACUCUCUGCGCAAGGAGUCUGACGCACGUGUGCAGAGAACGAUACAUAUUGUAAAACGAGGUUCAAGAGAGGAUUUUAUGCAAAAUCACUUGACAUGUCUUAAGGAGAAUGGAACUGGCACAUUUGUAGCUAUCAAAAAAAGAGGGGAAAAUCACUUUCAGUGGCAAUGUGAAAGGUCCAAUAAACCAAAAGAUGUGUCAUGGUAGAUAGGGACAUGAAAGAAAUCAAUGCAGUACACACAGUGUUUCCUUAUGCAAAGGUGUUGCUGUGCUGGUUCCAUGUACUUCAGGUAAAAAACCAAAACCACUUUCAGUUAGGGGUCAUUCCGGGUUGAUUGCAGUGUAGCAAUGACUUUGGUCCAUACCAAGUGGACUAAAAUGCAGUCUAGCAAAUGCUGCAAAUUAGACCUGAUUGCACCGUACCAAAACCAAAUAGUUAAUCAUGUGAAUUGGUUCAGCUGAUGUGAACAUGCAGAACACGUUAGACCGCCCAUGUGGACCAAUAUCAGAAGCAAUGCAGAAGAUAAGUCACAUCAAACUUUUAACAGUUUAAAACCCUCAGUAGAAUAAAUGUCAUCUAAAAGAGUUCCAAAAUUUUCCAUAGAGGAAAAGAUGUAUUUAGUACACCUAAUUAAAAACUACAUUAACAAAGCUUACAGCACCAGCAAAGAAGACGAGAAUGUUGUAUUACGUAAAAUGGCAUGGAAAAAUAUUGAACAGAAUUUCAAUGCUAACCUUUUGGGGCGGCCGCAAAUUUUUCAGGAUAGAGGUGUACAGUACUAACUGUAGUCCAAGCACAUGGACUAAACCUCCUCAUUCCACUAGUUCAGGGGUGGCCAACCCUGGUACUGGAGAGCCACAAUCCUGCAGGUUUUAUAGGUCUCUCUAAAUCAUCAAACACUAAUCAACUGGCACCCAUGGGAAUUUUGACCAAUUAAGACCAAUUAAUAAUGUCAAUUAAGUUAUCAAGGGCUCGGUUAAAACAAAAACCAGAAGACCCUGUGGCUCUCAAGGACCAGGGUUAGCCAGUCCUGCACUAGUUAGAUGAAUCAAGUGGACUAACUGGUACAGUGCAAUCGACCCUCAAUGACUAAUUAUUUAAAUAUAUCUAUAGAUAACCUACUGAUUUCAAUUGCACUUAGUAUAAAAGUACUUGAGAGUGGGUAUUUAUAUCCAUAAUGUAGAAUUCAUAUACAAGGUCUUAAAGCCUUAUAUCAGGGGUAGGCGACCCUGGUCCUGGAGUGCCACAAUCCUGCAGAGUUUGUAGGUAUCUCUUAAUCAUCAAUUAUUAAAUCCCUGGAACAAAUGGUAAUUCUGAUAAAUUAAGCUAAUCAAUGAGUCAAUGAAUUUAUUAAGGGUCUUGGGGUAAACAAAAAACUGAAGUGUUUGUGGCAGUGGUUCCCAACCCUGGUCCUGGAGGACCACCUACCCUGCUGGUUUUUGUUCCAACGAGCUCUCAAUUACUUAAUUGAACCCUUAAUUUAAGCAAUAGUUUAAACUGGACUUUUCAAAUCAUGUAACUUAUAAAAAGUUGGAGAAUUCAAGUUCCUUAUACAAUUUUACACCUAACUUGGAACCCCAACUGUUUAACAGAAUUAAAAGGCUCUGAUUAGGCAAAUUAUUAGUUCGAUUAAGUAAUUGCAAGCUCGGUUGGAACAAAAACCAGCAGGUUAGGGGGUCCUCCAGGACCAGGGUUGGGAAUCACUGGUCUGUGGCACUCCAGGACCAGGGGUGUCUACCCCUGCCUUAUAUAUUCAGAAAAAUAUCUGCCUCCUCCCAGACCAGCUUUUGGCAAAAUGACAGAAUGCAAACUUGUGUGCAUUAUAAAAUAAAAAAAGAUUUUAUGGUAGAAAUUUGGUAUCUCCUAAGUCUGAAGGUUACAGGAAGGGAAUUGAAUGACAAUCUGAUUGAUAAAAAAUGAAAACAUUGUUCCUUAAUGUGAUCUAACAAAAGUGAAACAAAGUAGCAGAGUCAGAAAACUGUUCAUUCCAAUUGCAUUUUACAUGCGUCUUCAUACUUAGAUUUGAUUAUACUUGAUUUAUUAUAAUGAUCAUUUUUAUUAUGUAAUUUACACAAUCCAUGAUACAUAGCAAAUUCAAAACUAAUAUACAAUACGUUUUAAAAAAUCAGUGUACAAUAGUUACAAUUUUGAAAGCAAACAAAAAACAGACCAUGUGCUAUAGUACUUUCUAACACAGACUUAGACAGUGAUAAUUAUCAACGUUUAGUUUUUAGUUUUUUAAAGGCGGUACACAGAUGGAUUGUCCGACGUGAUGGAGGAUGCAGUCAGAAUCUGUCUGCAAAAAAUGAAGUGAUUAGGUCUAUGAUUGCCUUAAAACAAUGCAGUACAGUAAGUUUCUUUUUCUUUCUUUCUUCCACGUUAGCAAACGUCAUAAGGUGCUGAUCUUUAUUGAUGAGUUCAAAGUUUGUUUUUUAAUUUCCUUCUCACCACAAUAAUGACAUACUGUUGCUCAUUCAUGGAUAAUCCAUUUACCAUAAUUAUACUACCCAUCUUUGUAAUAGAAUUUGUAUAUUGACAAACGUGUAUUUUUUGAAAAAAAAUUAUUUGGUAUGCAUGUCUUUCUGUUAACAUUUUUUUUAUUUAUUUUCAUUCAUUUUAGGCUGCCGAGUUUGAAAAGAUGUCAAAGGAAGUGAUUGUCAAAACAGACAGAUAAACUGGCAGUUCAGUAAUUUCACAGUAUCUACAGGACCAUUGGUUUCGAAAUGCAGACAUGUGGGCCAAUUUUGGACGGAGAGUUUACCACCAAGACAGUGAAACGAACAACCUUGUUGAGAGAUUUUUUUUCAGCAUGAAGUAUCAGUUUCUUCAUGGCUAUGCAAACAGACGAGUUGAUGAACUACUUCUACUACUUAAUACCAAGGUGGUCACUUACUAGAGGUAUCUGGAAGGUCUUCAUGGUGCUCAGAGGAUUUCUGAUUCCAAAACACAGGAUACUGCAGAAUCUGCAUUACGUAUGAAGAACAAAGGCCUUCAAAAUAAUUUUGUUUACAAAUCAGGUGGCCAUUGCACAGUGCCUUCAGAAGCAGAUAAAGCAAAAUGUUAUGCUAUGGAUUUAAUUAGCAGGACAUGUGAAUGCGCCGUUUCUGAAAGGGGUAAUUUGUGCAAGCAUAUUGAGUUUGCAAAAAUGAUGUGCAAAGAACAGGGGAUUGAUAUUGAUGGAAUUCGAAAAGAAUUAGCCAGUUCACUAACUGAACAGCAUUGCUAUGAGUGGGAUGGAAAACAUUUAAUUGUACAUUGUGCUGGUAGUUUUGGAGUAGUACAUGUGCAAAACCAACAGUGUACCUGUCUUGCCAAUAGUCUUGGAGAAAUAUGUGUCUGUCUAAGACUUUCUGAGUUAAUUGGUACACAGAACCCUAACCAAGAGGUAACUGACUGCUUUGUGAAUACCACAGCAAAUUGUCAAUCACACAAUAAACAGUUGUGUGUAAAGAAGAUGAUUUCAGACUUAAAGGAGUGGUGUGACAGCAGUGAUUAUAAGGAAUCUCCAGAGUUGAAUGCUGUAGUAAAACGUGCACACCAACUAGCAUUUGGACAGUAUAGCAUGGCCAGCAAUAAAAUAAAAAUUAUAAGGCUGCAUGCUUACAGAAAACGCAUUGAAAGAGCAAGAAGCCAUGCUAUAGACAUGCAUUCAUAUCAGCUCAAAGAACCCCUUAAUCAAGCUUUAUAUACCCAUAGACCUGAUUCCAAAUUCAAAGUCUGUUCCUUUAGAAAAAGAAUAAUUGGUAGCAGAGCAAAGAAUCGGAUACUAAAAUCGAGCUGAACGUGUGCUGUUAUGAGCCCACGCCUUUAUUUUUGAAUUACAGAAUGCACACAAAACUGGACAAAGUAUAGAGGUUAAUUACAACUGUUAAGGACCUCAAAGGUCUCUUCAAGUAAGAGUGAAAUAGCUAUUUCACUCUUACUUGAAGCAGCAUGUUAUCAAAAAUAAAAUAUAUGUUGCAUAGUUCUAAUUGCUGAUGAUUGUAUUCUGGCCAAGUUGGUCGAUAUUUGAUAUGGUAUGUCUCCCUUUUCUCUCUUAAUCAGAUUACUUAAAUAACACUUAAAUGUGCAUUAUUGUAACACUUUGUAAAGAAGUUGUAAAAAUAUGAUUUGUAGUAAAUAGAAAGUGCAAUCUUUAAGUAGCGAGUAGUGUAAAAGCAAAUUGUUAACAUAAAAAUCUAAGCCUGAACUGAAUUUCUUUCAAAGGGGGAACAUGUCAGGGGGUCAUUAGAGCUGAGAAGUGGGGAGGAGGGUUCUUCUGUACAGCACUUUUUUCCACAAUUGGGUCCAGUACUUUGUAUUGCUCUGUAUCAGUCUGUUGAAGCAUGUAUGUGCAGUUUUACAUUUCAAUA